rnacentral:snRNA from 1 species
GUGCCUGAAAUUAAUGAGUAAGGAAAACCAAUCCGCCUUGCUAAUCGCUUGGUAGUAUUUGGCUUCUAGGCAAAGGGGCGGCCCUCAGAAGCCGCUCCCUUGAGGCCUGAAUUUUUGCACGGGCACAGGUCGCCCCCUGCUUUGCCGGCACGGCCCCUCCCAUUUGGCGGCAGGAACCGGCACCUACUUUUGUGUCGGGGAGCGCUGCUGGAUGGGGGGGGACCACCGCUGCCGGUUGGGGUGUUUGCGAUCUGCCC